rfam:Mustela putorius furo unplaced genomic scaffold scaffold00052, whole genome shotgun sequence.
ACUUGGUUGGCUCAGUCAGUAGAGCAUGUGACUCUUGAUCUCGGGGUCAUGAGUUCAAGCCCCAUGCUGGGUG